UUGUCCACUUUCAACAAAUCUAAGAUGUACAUUCAAUUUUAAUUAACUUUUGAUCUCUCUUUUUCCCUCAAAAUCCUCUAGCACAAUGACUCACACCUAUAUCCUAUAUACGUAUCCCAUCAACUACUUGAUCAUCAUCAUGGCCAGUCUAUAUCUCUAGAUCCGUGAAUAUAUUGUACAUCAUUUCAGCAAUUAUGGCUGUGGGGGGCGAAGAAUUGAAAUCCCCUAACUCCUACAACUCAAUUGAGAAAAUAAUGGAAGAAAGGAAAUGAGAUGUUAGGAAAAAAGCAAAGGAGAGAGAUAAUAAAAAUAAAAAUAAAGGGAAGGAACAAGGGAGACACGCGCGUGUUUUAUGUGGGUUUUGCUGUCUGAAAAUCUUGCAGUGGCACCUGAGAUUU
rnacentral:lncRNA from 1 species